CCACUCAUAUGUACCAGUGCAUCUUACCACACGGUCCAUACCUAUACAAAUGCAUCAAUCUAGUGGCCAUUGCUGUUGUUGUAUUUGCUGAGAGGGUUGACUUCAUUUCUUUCCAUCUACCAUCUGCCAUUGCUACAUUUUCUCUCUUCAGCUUUAGUCGUCAACUAGAAAAAGAGGCUGAAAUUGGGGGUUUGAAUAAUCUGAUAGCUCAGGGGAAAGAUGGAAAAAGAACAUGAGCCACAUGACACUUCGACAACUGGUUCGACAUCCAUUGCAAGCGCAGGACUAGUAGGUAAGUUGUAUUCCUCAGUAGUUAUGCAACUUAGCUCAGGGGAAAGAUGGAAAAAGAACAUGAGCCACAUGACACUUCGACAACUAGUUCGGCAUUCAUCGCAAGAGCAGGACUAGUAGGAGUUGAUCAUGGCUGGAUGGCUGCUUUACGGGGCAUUUCUUGCUAUUGCCUUUGUUUUUGCUCAUUUGCUGCUUCAUCUAUGAAGUUGUUUUGGUGCUAGCUUGGUGCAAAGAUAUUUUCUUGUGUGGACUUGCAAGUUGUAGGUUGCUGUAGUAGUAAAUUGCUCUUGUUUUAGGCGGUUUAUUGCCACUUACAUUCUUGAAAUUGUUUUGGUACUGGCUUGGUGAUAAGAUACUAUCUUGUGUAAGACUUGCAAGUUGUAGGCUGUUGCAGUAGUAAAUUACUCUUG